rnacentral:lncRNA from 1 species
AAACAAGCCGCCAUGGUUCUUAGGAUCAAGACCUCUCAUUUUGUGUUCCUUAUUCUCUUCAUUUACUUAUCUUCAGGUACGCGAGUUGUUGAAAUAAUAAUCAUGUCCUCAUUUCCAAGUCUUUUAACAGCUUAACAACACAAUCUAAAUGUUAUUCAUCUUAUACCUACUUCUCUAGGCAGAGUCGAAGGCUUCAAUAAUGGCGUGAGCUCCAUGAAUGCUCUCCAUGAGGUAAAAAAUUCAUGCUCAUACAUACUUAAAAACUAAAAACGAAAUUAUCUAUGUAAUGCAAAUUCAAACUGAUCAUGCAAUACAAACAACGUGAUAGAACCAUUGCAUGGUGUAUGGAUGCAAAGCUAUUUUAAGAAGAUGAUUUUAAUUUUUUCUCUGUUUGCCACUACAGCUUAUUUUGAAGAAAACUUGCUAAUUAUUGCUACAUGUUUUGUGAAGGAUGCUGUCGAUAUAAACUCAAGGAAGCUUUUAAGUUAUGAUGUUGUGUUAGACUAUGAUGAUCCCAGAGCAAAUCCUAAGCAUGAUCCAAGGGGUUGGAGAGGUGGUGGCGGCAAGGCCUGAGUACUCUAUCUAUCUGUCCUACUUUUGAGUCCCAAGCGAAAGUGCUAUUAUUCCAGUUAGUUUUUGAUUGUGAAUGGGGAGACAUAGUAUUGUACUAUCUAUAUUAGUCCCUCAUAUGAGUUUCUUUAGAUAUACUAAUAAUCUUGUAAAAGCCCUCUAGAGGACACAAUAAGACCAUAAAGGUUAUCCAGAAUAGUAGUAGUUCAGAAUUCAGAUGGUUUUUGUUGGCUAUUGCCUGCCGCCUUACAUGUUAAGGUAAUUAUAUGAGUGAUACGGCGAUAUCAACUUGAAAUUUAAAUCCUAGGUACGUCUUGCCGGCAUGGCUCAAAAACAGCGGCAAAAGAGAAACCCUGACCAUCAGAGCGAACAAGAAGAACAUCGUCGAUCCCCAACACCUGUCAAUGAAUUGCAAUAGCCGAGGAACACCGGCCUCCUCCUCGGCCCUUGGGAAGAAUGAUGUUGGUUUUGUUAGAAGAAGAAUAAUAAUAGCCCAAGUUGCAGUCAAUUCUGUUAUAAAUACAAUUAAAAAAAACACUUUCCAUCCUUUUCCACGGAUAUAUCAUAUAUAUGCGUCUUGACUUGUUAAAAAGUUGGGUCCAUCCAUAGAGGAUAUGUAAAUUAUCAUUUAAUCCAAAAAAGAAAAUGGGGAAUUAAAGAACUCAAUUUUGGAAAAGUACAAUACUUUUUACAACCAUAACACUUUCAAUAUCGGUAUUUUUUGGUAAACAUUAAAACAG